rnacentral:rRNA from 1 species
CGGGGUGUCAGUUUGGGCAAGUCGCAUGGAAAUGCGCGCCGUGGAGGGUGAGAGCCCCGUCCAACCCAUUCAGGACACGCCGUACGAGGCCGUUUCAGGCGAGUCGGGUAGCUUGGGAAUGCUGCUCUAAUCGGUGGUAAAUCUCAUCGAAGGCUAAAUAGCGGCUGGAGACCGAUAGCAAACAAGUACCGUGAGGGAAAGAUGACAAGCACUUUGAAAUGAGGGUGAAAAGAGCCUGAAACCGUCACGGGGGAAGCGGAUUGCGUUGGAUUGAUGGGCGCUUGUGUGUUCAGCCUUCGGGUGCAUUGGCACAAGUGCUUAUCCGCCGUGAGUUUCUAGGGGUCGAUUUUGGACCCCUGGGGACUGAGGGCUCCCUUCGGGUGAGGACGGCGGAGUGACGACGCGAUACGACCCGUCUUGAAACACGGACCAAGGAGUCUAGCGCGGGUGCGAGUCGGAGGGUGCAAGCCCGUGGGCGAAGUGAAAGCGAGUUUAAAAACUAGCAGUUUGGGGCGGCAUAAGAUCGUUGAUCUCAAGACCGACCCAGAGCAGUUGCGCUGGGACCCGAAAGAUGGUGAACUAUGCCGGAGUAGGGCAAAGCCAGAGGAAACUCUGGUGGAGGCUCGUAGCGGUGCUGACGUGCAAAUCGCUCGUCGAACUUGGGUAUAGGGGCGAAAGACUAAUCGAACCAUCUAGUAGCUGGUUCCCUCCGAAGUUUCUCUCAGGAUAGCGGGCCGACAAGUUGUUUUGUGCGGUAAAGCGAAUGAUUAGCGCAUUCGGGGGCAUUUAGCCUUUGGGCGAUUCUCAAACUUUCAAUGCGCAAGGGUGCCGCUGCUUAAUUGAGCGGCACCGGUAAAAA